rnacentral:RNase_P_RNA from 13 species
AAAAGAAAAAAGAAAAAAGCGAAAAAGAAAAAAAAGUCGAUGGAAACAGAGGCGAUAAGGGUGUUUGUUUGUGUUUGUUUGUUUUUUGAGUGUCCCUGUCUUCUUUUCCCAUCGUUUCCCCCUCCCCCUCCCCCCCCCUUUACCUUCAAGAAAUUUAAAGAUUUGAGGAAAGGGUAAAUGUUUUGGACAAUAAUAAAAAA